rnacentral:rRNA from 1 species
CUCCUGGAAACGGGUGGUAAUGCCGGAUGUUCCAGUUGAUCGCAUGGUCUUCUGGGAAAGCUUUCGCGGUAUGGGAUGGGGUCGCGUCCUAUCAGCUUGACGGCGGGGUAACGGCCCACCGUGGCUUUCACGGGUAGCCGGCCUGAGAGGGCGACCGGCCACAUUGGGACUGAGAUACGGCCCACACUCCUACGGGAGGCAGCAGUGGGGAAUAUUGCACAAUGGGCGCAAGCCUGAUGCAGCGACCCCCCGUGAGGGAUGGAGGCCUUCGGGUUGUAAACCUCUUUUAUCGGGGAGCAAGCGUGAGUGAGUUUACCCGUUGAAUAAGCACCGGCUAACUACGUGCCAGCAGCCGCGGUAAUACGUAGGGUGCAAGCGUUAUCCGGAAUUAUUGGGCGUAAAGGGCUCGUAAGCGGUUCGUCGCGUCCGGUGUGAAAGUCCAUCGCUUAACGGUGGAUCCGCGCCGGGUACGGGCGGGCUUGAGUGCGGUAGGGGAGACUGGAAUUCCCGGUGUAACGGUGGAAUGUGUAGAUAUCGGGAAGAACACC